GAUGAACGCUGGCGGCGUGCCUAAUACAUGCAAGUCGAGCGAACAGACGAGGAGCUUGCUCCUCUGACGUUAGCGGCGGACGGGUGAGUAACACGUGGAUAACCUACCUAUAAGACUGGGAUAACUUCGGGAAACCGGAGCUAAUACCGGAUAAUAUAUUGAACCGCAUGGUUCAAUAGUGAAAGACGGUUUUGCUGUCACUUAUAGAUGGAUCCGCGCCGCAUUAGCUAGUUGGUAAGGUAACGGCUUACCAAGGCAACGAUGCGUAGCCGACCUGAGAGGGUGAUCGGCCACACUGGAACUGAGACCCGGUCCAGACUCCUACGGGAGGCAGCAGUAGGGAAUCUUCCGCAAUGGGCGAAAGCCUGACGGAGCAACGCCGCGUGAGUGAUGAAGGUCUUCGGAUCGUAAAACUCUGUUAUUAGGGAAGAACAAAUGUGUAAGUAACUAUGCACGUCUUGACGGUACCUAAUCAGAAAGCCACGGCUAACUACG
rnacentral:rRNA from 1 species